UAUCACUGGUAGCCCAUGCAAGUGGUGCCUCACCACCCUUGGCCUGUGACAGAGGCGCCUGCCAUCUGAGAGUCCAUGCGUGCAUGGGGAAAUUCCUAUGGAGGUCUGCCCUCCCCUCUCGCUCUUCCAGCAACGGCACCUUGCUUCUCCUCCAGGCCCGGCCCUCUUCCCGGGUUCCCUUGGCUGUGGCGUUCUGUUCGCCAGCCCAUGGCACACUACUCCCUAGACCCUCAGGCCUUCUCCACACAGCCAACCCUAGUCCUCUCCCUGGAACUGGCCUCUGGAGCCUGAUUCUCCACGCCCAGCCCCUGCCUGAGCAUCUCAAGCUGUGGUGUCCAGGGCGGUGGUGCAGAUGACCUGUGUGGUUCUCUCUCUGCUUUGCCAUCCUCAGUCCAGCUGCUGUGCUCUUCUCCAUGACUUUGAGGUCCCUCCAUCUUGGCUGAUCUCCCCGUUGGUUCGGUAGCUUCCCAGGGUGUGAGUUCCUUUUCUCUUUAGCAGCUCCCUCUCAGCAGCACUAUUCCCAUCCUGAUUCCUUUCUCUCUCUCUCUCCUUUUCCCUUUUGUUCUACCCAGCCAUGUGGAGGGUUUCUUGCCCUUUUUGGAGGUUUAAGGUCUUCUGCCAGCUUUCGGUAGUUGUUCUGCGCAAAUUGUUCUGCGUGUAUGUAUUUUUUUGUUUUGUAUGUGUGUUUUUGGGAGAGUGACAUCUUACUCCUCCACCGUCUCGAUCCUUCCCGUUCUAAUGAAAUUUUAAAAGGGGACAGGGCACCGACUCAUGCAAUAAAUUUCACCUUCAAAGGCCAAAAAAAGAACAAAAGAUUCCAGUGCCUGCUGGCCUGUUCCGCCCUCCAUCCUAAAGACCCAGAGGAGGCAGCAGGAGAUUCCUGCCAUCGUAAAUUUCUGGCUGAUGGAGAAGGGAAGGGAGAAGAGCCAAGUGCCCUCGGAAUUCUUGGCCGCCCCCCAGUGACCACCGGUCCUGGCCGGCUCCCCACACCGUGCUGGAGAACACAGUGUCGCUGUCCUGUGCAUGAGGUCUCAGGAUGGACAGACCAGCCAACAUGGCUCUGGAGUAAGAAGACUCCCCCUUGGAAGAUUUGGUGUGCCGGCCCCACAGUCACCGACCCCCUGGACUAGCCCAUGCGUGGUGAGUUGCUUCUCUGCUGGUGACUCUGCAUUUGCUCUGAGCCAGGCUGGCUCCUGUGGUCUCUGUGGUGUGUGGACCUGGCCCACUCCCCCUGGAGCAGGAAGUACCAGGGCCUUCAUGCUGCAGAGCUGCAGACACGACCUGGUCCACAUUUGCUAGAGCCUUCCUUCGGAAAGGCCGCCCAGAUGCCCCGAGCCUCGAGUUCCCUGUCUGUAAAAAUACGGACAACAGUGCCCUGCUUCCAGAGGCUGCAGGAUUCAAGCAGGAGGUGACGGGCCAUGCCCCAGCCUUCCUCCUCUGAGGGAACAGGAGCUGAUCCCAGGACAGUCACCUGCCCAGGACACAGAGCUCCACAGUGCGUCACACAGAAAACAGCCGGACACGCCUGGCGUUUCCUUACCCAAGUCUUUUGACUUUUCUCCUUUUAUGCACAUUGCUCAGGGCUCUCAGAGUUGGGUUUUGUUUCGGGAUCCAAUUUCAGUCUCGUCCUUUUAAAGGGCCUGUUGGGCACACUCACGUGUACUCACAUGAAGACAGAUGUGUUUGGUGUCUAUCUUGUUUUGCCUUUUAAUGCCAUACUUUCCAUUUUUCCCUUUUUUUCUUUUCUUUUCCUUCUUAGGGCCACGCCUGUGGCCAGUGGAAGUUCCUGGGCUAGUGGUCGAAUCUGGGCUACAGCCGCCAGCCGCCAGCCGCCAGCACAGCCACAGUCGCACCCACUCCAAGCUGCAUCUGUAGUCUACACCGCAGCUUUCAGGAACACUGAAUCCUUAACCCACUGAGUGAUGCCAGGGCUUGCCCCCGCAUGCUCAUGGGUGCUAGUCGGAUUCUGAACCUGCUGAGCCACAACAGGAACUCCAGUGCUUUCCGUUUGUCACCCUCCUAAGGCAGUCUUCCACUCCCAGUCGUCCUCCUUUGCUGCUCUGCGGGUGGAGCGGUCGUCUUCACAAGGAGGGCCUCCUCAGCGUCCUCUGCGCAGCCUCCUCAGGCAGC
rnacentral:lncRNA from 1 species